CUACGGGGGGCAGCAGUGGGGAAUAUUGGACAAUGGGGGAAACCCUGAUUCAGCAAUGCCGCGUGUGAAGAAGGCCUGCGGGUUGUAAAGCACUUUCGGUUGGGAGGACUGCUUCUAGCACUAAUAUUGUUGGAAGUUGACGUUACCUUCAGAAGAAGCACCGGCUAACUCCGUGCCAGCAGCCGCGGUAAUGCGGAGGGUGCAAGCGUUAAUCGGAAUUACCGGGCGUAAAGCGCGCGUAGGCGGCUAGAUCAGUCGGGUGUGAAAGCCCCGGGCUUAACCUGGGAACUGCAUCCGAUACUGUCUAGCUUGAGUACAGGAGAGGAGAGUGGAAUUCCACAUGUAGCGGUGAAAUGCGUAGAUAUGUGGAGGAACACCAAUGGCGAAGGCAGCUCUCUGGCCUGAUACUGACGCCGAGGUGCGAAAGCGUGGGGAGCAAACAGGAUUAGAUACCCCGGUAGUC
rnacentral:rRNA from 1 species